rnacentral:rRNA from 1 species
GACGAACGCUGGCGGCGUGCUUAACACAUGCAAGUCGAACGGAAAGGCCCUGCUUUUGUGGGGUGCUCGAGUGGCGAACGGGUGAGUAACGCGUGAGUAACCUGCCCUUGACUUUGGGAUAACUUCAGGAAACUGGGGCUAAUACUGGAUAGGAGCUCCUGCUGCAUGGUGGGGGUUGGAAAGUUUCGGCGGUUGGGGAUGGACUCGCGGCUUAUCAGCUUGUUGGUGGGGUAGUGGCUUACCAAGGCUUUGACGGGUAGCCGGCCUGAGAGGGUGACCGGCCACAUUGGGACUGAGAUACGGCCCAGACUCCUACGGGAGGCAGCAGUGGGGAAUAUUGCACAAUGGGCGGAAGCCUGAUGCAGCAACGCCGCGUGCGGGAUGACGGCCUUCGGGUUGUAAACCGCUUUCGCCUGUGACGAAGCGUGAGUGACGGUAAUGGGUAAAGAAGCACCGGCUAACUACGUGCCAGCAGCCGCGGUGAUACGUAGGGUGCGAGCGUUGUCCGGAUUUAUUGGGCGUAAAGGGCUCGUAGGUGGUUGAUCGCGUCGGAAGUGUAAUCUUGGGGCUUAACCCUGAGCGUGCUUUCGAUACGGGUUGACUUGAGGAAGGUAGGGGAGAAUGGAAUUCCUGGUGGAGCGGUGGAAUGCGCAGAUAUCAGGAGGAACACCAGUGGCGAAGGCGGUUCUCUGGGCCUUUCCUGACGCUGAGGAGCGAAAGCGUGGGGAGCGAACAGGCUUAGAUACCCUGGUAGUCCACGCUGUAAACGGUGGGUACUAGGUGUGGGGUCCAUUCCACGGGUUCCGUGCCGUAGCUAACGCUUUAAGUACCCCGCCUGGGGAGUACGGCCGCAAGGCUAAAACUCAAAGGAAUUGACGGGGCCCCGCACAAGCGGCGGAGCAUGCGGAUUAAUUCGAUGCAACGCGUAGAACCUUACCUGGGUUUGACAUGGAUCGGGAGUGCUCAGAGAUGGGUGUGCCUCUUUUGGGGUCGGUUCACAGGUGGUGCAUGGCUGUCGUCAGCUCGUGUCGUGAGAUGUUGGGUUAAGUCCCGCAACGAGCGCAACCCUUGUUCAUUGUUGCCAGCACGUUAUGGUGGGGACUCAGUGGAGACCGCCGGGGUCAACUCGGAGGAAGGUGGGGAUGACGUCAAGUCAUCAUGCCCCUUAUGUCCAGGGCUUCACGCAUGCUACAAUGGCUGGUACAGAGAGUGGCGAGCCUGUGAGGGUGAGCGAAUCUCGGAAAGCCGGUCUCAGUUCGGAUUGGGGUCUGCAACUCGACCUCAUGAAGUCGGAGUCGCUAGUAAUCGCAGAUCAGCAACGCUGCGGUGGAUACGUUCCCGGG